GUGCUUGUUUUGGCAGCACAUAUACUAAAAUUGGAACGAUGCAGAGAAGAUUAGCAUGGCCCCUGUGCAAGGAUGACACACAAAUUCGUGAAGAGUUCCAUAUUAAA
rnacentral:snRNA from 1 species